UACGUAGGGGGCAAGCGUUGUCCGGAAUCAUUGGGCGUAAAGCGCGUGUAGGCGGCUCGAUAAGUCUGCUGUGAAAGUCCAGGGCUCAACCCUGGAAUGCCGGUGGAAACUGUCAAGCUUGAGUCCGGAAGAGGCGAGUGGAAUUCCUGGUGUAGCGGUGAAAUGCGCAGAUAUCAGGAGGAACACCAAUGGCGAAGGCAGCUCGCUGGGACGGUACUGACGCUGAGACGCGAAAGCGUGGGGAGCAAACAGG
rnacentral:rRNA from 1 species